rnacentral:tRNA from 4 species
GGACACUUAGCUCAGUUGGGAGAGCACCAUCUUGACAGGGUGGGGGUCAGCGGUUCGAACCCGUUAGUGUCCACCA